rnacentral:rRNA from 2 species
CUUUAUCGGAGAGUUUGAUCCUGGCUCAGGACGAACGCUGGCGGCGUGCCUAAUACAU